rnacentral:tRNA from 1 species
GUGUCCAUAGCUCAGCUGGAUAGAGCAACGGCCUUCUAAGCCGUGGGUCGGGGGUUCGAAUCCCUUUGGGCACGCGA